GCUAAUAUAGUUUAAAUUUUAAAUAUAAAACAUUAAUUUUGUAAAUUAAAAAUAUUUAUAAUAUAAAUUAAUAGCA
rnacentral:tRNA from 1 species